rnacentral:rRNA from 1 species
GUUGUAUGGUUAAGUGACUAAGCGUACACGGUGGAUGCCUGGGCAGUCAGAGGCGAUGAAGGACGUACUAACUUGCGAUAAGCGCAGAUAAGGCAGUAAGAGCCGUUUGAGUCUGCGAUUUCCGAAUGGGGAAACCCAACUGCAUAAGCAGUUACUGUUAACUGAAUACAUAGGUUAACAGAGCAAACCGGGGGAACUGAAACAUCUAAGUACCCCGAGGAGAAGAAAUCAACCGAGAUUCCGGUAGUAGCGGCGAGCGAACCUGGAUUAGCCCUUAAGCACUCGGUGAAGUAGGUGAACAAGCUGGAAAGCUUGGCGAUACAGGGUGAUAGCCCCGUAACCGACGCUUCAUCGAGCGUGAAAUCGAGUAGGGCGGGACACGUGAUAUCCUGUCUGAAUAUGGGGGGACCAUCCUCCAAGGCUAAAUACUCCUGACUGACCGAUAGUGAACCAGUACCGUGAGGGAAAGGCGAAAAGAACCCCUGUGAGGGGAGUGAAAUAGAACCUGAAACCGUGUACGUACAAGCAGUAGGAGCACCUUCGUGGUGUGACUGCGUACCUUUUGUAUAAUGGGUCAGCGACUUAUAUUCAGUGGCAAGGUUAACCGUAUAGGGGAGCCGUAGCGAAAGCGAGUCUUAACUGGGCGCUCAGUCUCUGGAUAUAGACCCGAAACCGGGUGAUCUAGCCAUGGGCAGGUUGAAGGUUGAGUAACAUCAACUGGAGGACCGAACCGACUAAUGUUGAAAAAUUAGCGGAUGACUUGUGGCUAGGGGUGAAAGGCCAAUCAAACUCGGAGAUAGCUGGUUCUCCCCGAAAGCUAUUUAGGUAGCGCCUCGGACGAAUACUACUGGGGGUAGAGCACUGUUAAGGCUAGGGGGUCAUCCCGACUUACCAACCCUUUGCAAACUCCGAAUACCAGUAAGUACUAUCCGGGAGACACACGGCGGGUGCUAACGUCCGUCGUGGAGAGGGAAACAACCCAGACCGCCAGCUAAGGUCCCAAAGUAUUGCUAAGUGGGAAACGAUGUGGGAAGGCUCAGACAGCUAGGAUGUUGGCUUAGAAGCAGCCAUCAUUUAAAGAAAGCGUAAUAGCUCACUAGUCGAGUCGGCCUGCGCGGAAGAUGUAACGGGGCUAAGCAAUACACCGAAGCUGCGGCAAUAUCUUUUAGAUAUUGGGUAGGGGAGCGUUCUGUAAGCCGUUGAAGGUGAAUCGUAAGGUUUGCUGGAGGUAUCAGAAGUGCGAAUGCUGACAUGAGUAACGACAAAGGGGGUGAAAAACCUCCUCGCCGGAAGACCAAGGGUUCCUGUCCAACGUUAAUCGGGGCAGGGUGAGUCGACCCCUAAGGUGAGGCCGAAAGGCGUAAUCGAUGGGAAACGGGUUAAUAUUCCCGUACUUCUGACUAUUGCGAUGGGGGGACGGAGAAGGCUAGGUGGGCCAGGCGACGGUUGUCCUGGUUCAAGUGCGUAGGCUUGAGAGUUAGGUAAAUCCGGCUCUCUCUAAGGCUGAGACACGACGUCGAGCUGCUACGGCAGUGAAGUCAUUGAUGCCAUGCUUCCAGGAAAAGCCUCUAAGCUUCAGAUAGUCAGGAAUCGUACCCCAAACCGACACAGGUGGUCGGGUAGAGAAUACCAAGGCGCUUGAGAGAACUCGGGUGAAGGAACUAGGCAAAAUGGUACCGUAACUUCGGGAGAAGGUACGCUCUUGAUGGUGAAGUCCCUCGCGGAUGGAGCUGACGAGAGUCGCAGAUACCAGGUGGCUGCAACUGUUUAUUAAAAACACAGCACUGUGCAAAAUCGCAAGAUGACGUAUACGGUGUGACGCCUGCCCGGUGCCGGAAGGUUAAUUGAUGGGGUUAGCGCAAGCGAAGCUCUUGAUCGAAGCCCCGGUAAACGGCGGCCGUAACUAUAACGGUCCUAAGGUAGCGAAAUUCCUUGUCGGGUAAGUUCCGACCUGCACGAAUGGCGUAAUGAUGGCCACGCUGUCUCCACCCGAGACUCAGUGAAAUUGAAAUCGCUGUGAAGAUGCAGUGUACCCGCGGCUAGACGGAAAGACCCCGUGAACCUUUACUACAGCUUGGCACUGAACAUUGAACCUACAUGUGUAGGAUAGGUGGGAGGCUAUGAAGACGUGACGCCAGUUGCGUUGGAGCCGUCCUUGAAAUACCACCCUUGUAUGU